rnacentral:rRNA from 1 species
UACGAAGGGGGCUAGCGUUGCUCGGAAUGACUGGGCGUAAAGGGCGCGUAGGCGGCGAUCAAAGUCAGGCGUGAAAUUCCUGGGCUCAACCUGGGGGCUGCGCUUGAUACUUGGUUGCUUGAGUGGGGAAGAGGGUCGUGGAAUUCCCAGUGUAGAGGUGAAAUUCGUAGAUAUUGGGAAGAACACCGGUGGCGAAGGCGGCGACCUGGUCCUUGACUGACGCUGAGGCGCGAAAGCGUGGGGAGCAAACAGG